rnacentral:rRNA from 1 species
GAUGAACGCUGGCGGCGUGCCUAAUACAUGCAAGUCGAGCGAACAGACGAGGAGCUUGCUCCUUUGACGUUAGCGGCGGACGGGUGAGUAACACGUAGGUAACCUACCUAUACGACUGGGAUAACUUCGGGAAACCGGAGCUAAUACCGGAUAAUAUUUCGAACCGCAUGGUUCGAUAGUGAAAGAUGGCUUUGCUAUCACUUAUAGAUGGACCUGCGCCGUAUUAGCUAGUUGGUAAGGGAACGGCUUACCAAAGCAACGCUACGUAGCCGGCCGUAGAGGGUGCUCGGCCACACUGUAAGUGAGACACGGUCCAGACUCCUACGGGAGGCAGCAGUAGGGAAUCUGCCGCAAUGGGCGAAAGCCUGACGGAGCAACGCCUCGUGAGUGAUGUAGGUCUUCGGAUCGUAAAACUCUGUUAUUAGGGAAGAACAAACGUGUAAGUAACUGUGCACGUCUUGACGGUACCUAAUCAGAAAGCCACGGCUAACUACGUGCCAGCAGCCGCUGUAA